ensembl:scaRNA LOC120096794 small Cajal body-specific RNA 23
CUGCUCACCAGGGCUCAGUCCUCCUCCUCUUGUGGUCCUGACCUGCCCUCUGUGAGCAAGAGAAUCUGGACUGGUUGGGGGUGUCCUGUCCAAGUGGACACAGGACUCCACGGUUUUCAGUACAACA